AUGCAAGACUAUUUCACAAAGAAUCCUACAUAUCCUUCGCACCUCUUCCAGAGAAGGCACCGAAUGCGCCGAUCGCUCUUUGUGAAACUUGUUCAAGCUUGCGAGGCAAAUUGCCGGUAUUUUACUCAAAGAAGAAAUGUCGCGGGCUUAAAGGGAUUUAGUGCAUAUCAAAAAAUAUCCCCAGCUAUGCGGGUGAUUGCAUAUGGCCUUUCGGCUGACUAUGCCGACGAAUAUCUUCGCAUUGGUGAAGAUAGCACAAUUGAGUCUGUGCGUAGAUUUGCAAAAGUGAUCAUCUGUGUCUUUGGUCCUGAGUAUCUUCGGGCAUCCAAUGAAGAUGACAAAAAAAAUUGA
rnacentral:rRNA from 1 species